rnacentral:rRNA from 1 species
AGAGCAUGUGGUGGAUGCCUUGGCGAUGAUAGGCGACGAAGGACGUGAUAGCCUGCGAUAAGCUUCGGGGAGCUGGCAAAUGAGCUUUGAUCCGGAGAUUUCCGAAUGGGGAAACCCACCUGCAAAGGUAUCGCACACUGAAUACAUAGGUGUGCGAGGCGAACCGGGUGAACUGAAACAUCUCAGUAGCUCGAGGAAAAGACAUCAACCGAGAUUCCGAAAGUAGUGGCGAGCGAAAUUGGAAGAGCCUGCAAGUGAUAGCACGACACUUAACAAAACAGUCUGGAAAGGCUGACCAUAGUGGGUGAUAGUCCCGUAUGUGAAAAGAGACGUGUGGUACUGAGCUUGCGAAAAGUAGGGCGGGACACGAGAAAUCCUGUCUGAACAUGGGGGGACCAUCCUCCAAGGCUAAAUACUCAUCAUCGACCGAUAGUGAACAAGUACCGUGAGGGAAAGGCGAAAAGAACCCCGGGAGGGGAGUGAAAUAGAUCCUGAAACCGCAUGCUUACAAAAAGUAGGAGCCCGAGAGGGUGACUGCGUACCUUUUGUAUAAUGGGUCAGCGACUUACAUUCAGUGGCAAGCUUAACCGAAUAGGGGAGGCGCAGGGAAACCGAGUCCGAACAGGGCGAACAUAGUCGCUGGGUGUAGACCCGAAACCAAGUGAUCUAUCCAUGGCCAGGAUGAAGGUGCCGUAACAGGUACUGGAGGUCCGAACCGACUAGUGUUGCAAAACUAGCGGAUGAGCUGUGGAUAGGGGUGAAAGGCUAAACAAACUUGGAAAUAGCUGGUUCUCUCCGAAAACUAUUUAGGUAGUGCCUCAAGUAUUACCGACGGGGGUAGAGCACUGUUUUGGCUAGGGGGUCAUGGCGACUUACCAAACCAAGGCAAACUCCGAAUACCGUUGAGUACAGCUUGGGAGACAGAGCACCGGGUGCUAACGUCCGGACUCAAGAGGGAAACAACCCAGACCGCCAGCUAAGGUCCCUAAAAUUGGCUAAGUGGGAAACGAAGUGGGAAGGCUAAAACAGUCAGGAUGUUGGCUUAGAAGCAGCCAUCAUUUAAAGAAAGCGUAAUAGCUCACUGAUCGAGUCGUCCUGCGCGGAAGAUGUAACGGGGCUCAAGCCAGUUACCGAAGCUGCGGAUUUGCAAUUUAUUGCAAGUGGUAGGAGAGCGUUCUGUAAGCCUGUGAAGGUGUCUUGUAAAGGAUGCUGGAGGUAUCAGAAGUGCGAAUGCUGACAUGAGUAGCGUUAAAGGGGGUGAAAAGCCCCCUCGCCGUAAGCGCAAGGUUUCCUACGCAACGUUCAUCGGCGUAGGGUGAGUCGGCCCCUAAGGCGAGGCAGAGAUGCGUAGCUGAUGGGAAACAGGUCAAUAUUCCUGUACCGAUUACAAGUGCGAUGUGGGGACGGAGAAGGUUAGCUCAGCCAACUGUUGGAAUAGUUGGUUCAAGCCUGUAGUCGUGCCUGGUAGGCAAAUCCGCCGGGCUAAGAUGAGGGGUGAUAACGAGGCUGCUUGCAGCCGAAGUGAGUGAUACCCUGCUUCCAGGAAAAGCCACUAAGCUUCAGCUUGUAAUUGACCGUACCGCAAACCGACACUGGUGCGCGAGAUGAGUAUUCUAAGGCGCUUGAGAGAACUCUGGAGAAGGAACUCGGCAAAUUGACACCGUAACUUCGGAAGAAGGUGUGCCUUUAGUAGGUGAAGUCCCUCGCGGAUGGAGCCCAACGGGGUUGCAAAAAAUCGGUGGCUGCGACUGUUUAUUAAAAACACAGCACUCUGCAAACACGAAAGUGGACGUAUAGGGUGUGACGCCUGCCCGGUGCUGGAAGAUUAAUUGAUGGGGUGCAAGCUCUUGAUCGAAGUCCCAGUAAACGGCGGCCGUAACUAUAACGGUCCUAAGGUAGCGAAAUUCCUUGUCGGGUAAGUUCCGACCUGCACGAAUGGCGUAACGAUGGCCACACUGUCUCCUCCAGAGACUCAGCGAAGUUGAAAUGUUUGUGAUGAUGCAAUCUCCCCGCGGAAAGACGGAAAGACCCCAUGAACCUUUACUGUAGCUUUGUAUUGGACUUUGAACAGAUCUGUGUAGGAUAGGUGGGAGGCUUUGAAGCAGGGUCGCUAGAUUCUGUGGAGCCAACGUUGAAAUACCACCCUGGUGUGUUUGAGGUUCUAACCUAGGUCCCUUAUCGGGAUCGGGGACAGUGCAUGGUAGGCAGUUUGACUGGGGCGGUCUCCUCCCAAAGUGUAACGGAGGAGUUCGAAGGUACGCUAGGUACGGUCGGACAUCGUGCUAAUAGUGCAAUGGCAUAAGCGUGCUUAACUGCGAGACUGACAAGUCGAGCAGAUGCGAAAGCAGGACAUAGUGAUCCGGUGGUUCUGUAUGGAAGGGCCAUCGCUCAACGGAUAAAAGGUACUCUGGGGAUAACAGGCUGAUACCGCCCAAGAGUUCAUAUCGACGGCGGUGUUUGGCACCUCGAUGUCGGCUCAUCUCAUCCUGGGGCUGUAGCCGGUCCCAAGGGUAUGGCUGUUCGCCAUUUAAAGAGGUACGUGAGCUGGGUUUAAAACGUCGUGAGACAGUUUGGUCCCUAUCUUCCGUGGGCGCUGCAGAUUUGAGGAAGCCUGCUCCUAGUACGAGAGGACCGGAGUGGACGCACCUCUGGUGUACCGGUUGUCACGCCAGUGGCAUCGCCGGGUAGCUAUGUGCGGAAGAGAUAACCGCUGAAAGCAUCUAAGCGGGAAACUCGUUCCAAGAUGAGAUCUGCCGGGGGCUUGACCCCCCUGAAGAGUCGUUCAAGACCAGGACGUUGAUAGGCUGGGUGUGGAAGACGUGUAAGCGUUUAAGCUAACCAGUACUAAUUGCUCGUGAGGCUUGACC